rnacentral:snoRNA from 1 species
AUGUCAAGGGUGGGACACUUCUUGAAAUAGCCCUUGAAUCUUUUCAUGCUUCUGGAUAGCUCUCAACAUUCUUUUGCUUGAAAGUGGGUAUCUCAUUUCUGAUUU